UGCAGUCGAGCGAAUGGAUUAAGAGCUUGCUCUUAUGAAGUUAGCGGCGGACGGGUGAGUAACACGUGGGUAACCUGCCCAUAAGACUGGGAUAACUCCGGGAAACCGGGGCUAAUACCGGAUAACAUUUUGAACCGCAUGGUUCGAAAUUGAAAGGCGGCUUCGGCUGUCACUUAUGGAUGGACCCGCGUCGCAUUAGCUAGUUGGUGAGGUAACGGCUCACCAAGGCAACGAUGCGUAGCCGACCUGAGAGGGUGAUCGGCCACACUGGGACUGAGACACGGCCCAGACUCCUACGGGAGGCAGCAGUAGGGAAUCUUCCGCAAUGGACGAAAGUCUGACGGAGCAACGCCGCGUGAGUGAUGAAGGCUUUCGGGUCGUAAAACUCUGUUGUUAGGGAAGAACAAGUGCUAGUUGAAUAAGCUGGCACCUUGACGGUACCUAACCAGAAAGCCACGGCUAACUACGUGCCAGCAGCCGCGGUAAUACGUAGGUGGCAAGCGUUAUCCGGAAUUAUUGGGCGUAAAGCGCGCGCAGGUGGUUUCUUAAGUCUGAUGUGAAAGCCCACGGCUCAACCGUGGAGGGUCAUUGGAAACUGGGAGACUUGAGUGCAGAAGAGGAAAGUGGAAUUCCAUGUGUAGCGGUGAAAUGCGUAGAGAUAUGGAGGAACACCAGUGGCGAAAUGCGACUUUCUGGUCUGUAACUGACACUGAGG
rnacentral:rRNA from 1 species